GUACACUCCUGCGGGAGGCAGCAGUGGGGAAUAUUGCACAAUGGGCGCAAGCCUGAUGCAGCCAUGCCGCGUGUAUGAAGAAGGCCUUCGGGUUGUAAAGUACUUUCAGCGGGGAGGAAGGCGAUAAGGUUAAUAACCUUGUCGAUUGACGUUACCCGCAGAAGAAGCACCGGCUAACUCCGUGCCAGCAGCCGCGGUAAUACGGAGGGUGCAAGCGUUAAUCGGAAUUACUGGGCGUAAAGCGCACGCAGGCGGUCUGUCAAGUCGGAUGUGAAAUCCCCGGGCUCAACCUGGGAACUGCAUUCGAAACUGGCAGGCUAGAGUCUUGUAGAGGGGGGUAGAAUUCCAGGUGUAGCGGUGAAAUGCGUAGAGAUCUGGAGGAAUACCGGUGGCGAAGGCGGCCCCCUGGACAAAGACUGACGCUCAGGUGCGAAAGCGUGGGGAGCAAACAGGAUUAGAAACCCCAGUAGUCCCAUGA
rnacentral:rRNA from 1 species